rnacentral:misc_RNA from 1 species
UCUCCGUAGGUGAACCUGCGGAGGGAUCAUUAAUGAGUGAGGGCUCACGCCAGACCUCCAACCCUUUGUGAACACAUCUUGUUGAUUCGGGGGCGAACCUGCCGGCACUCGGUCGCCGGGCGCCCCCGAAGGUCUCCAAACACUGCAUCUUUGCGUCGGAGUUUAAAACAAAUUAAACAAAACUUUCAACAACGGAUCUCUUGGUUCUGGCAUCGAUGAAGAACGCAGC